rnacentral:lncRNA from 1 species
GAAAAGAAAAAGAAAAUAAAAAUAGAAAAAGAAAUGGAAGAAAAGAGAUUUUUGAAACGACACUCCUCUUCUUCUAUCACGAAAAAACGUCCGCUACCCACAUCACCGCACACAACAACCAAACGAACGUCUCCCCGCGUCCAUAUCCAUCUGGUCACCGCGCACUGUUCCUCUUCCUUUCCCUCACACCACCAAACACCAGCCUCACCGCAAACGCACCACUACAACCCUUCCACCUUCUACACCGCCACUCCUUCAUCUCCCUCCGGUGACCACGUUCCAACCCUACACCUAUAAAAACCUUC